rnacentral:rRNA from 1 species
UACGUAGGGCGCAAGCGUUAUCCGGAAUUAUUGGGCGUAAAGAGCUCGUAGGCGGUUUGUCGCGUCUGCCGUGAAAGUCCGGGGCUCAACUCCGGAUCUGCGGUGGGUACGGGCAGACUAGAGUGAUGUAGGGGAGACUGGAAUUCCUGGUGUAGCGGUGGAAUGCGCAGAUAUCAGGAGGAACACCGGUGGCGAAGGCGGGUCUCUGGGCCGUAACUGACGCUGAGGAGCGAAAGCGUGGGGAGCGAACAGG